rnacentral:tRNA from 1 species
ACAGAUUAUGCCUAGGGCACCCUUUAUUUACAUUAAAGGUUUAUUUGUGCAAUUCAAAUUGAUUUGAU